CGUCCUUACAUGGUUCUCAACCGCCGAUUGAGAUUUGGAGGGAGACUAGGAGACCCAGGCGAAAACGAGUGUGCUAGCGGAGGCUCGGGGAUGCAGGGUGAUAGGGCCCAGUCUAUGCUCCGGUUGUGUUGUUGGGAUUUUCAAGAUGGGCCUUCCUAUCCAUAAGUUUGUCUUUAUACUGCAUAUUAAUUCACUCUUUUGGUUUUUCAAAUGCCCUGAUGGGAUGACCCUAAACAUGGAUAGUUUAACUUGGUAUAUCAGCUCAAACACCUGAUCCGCAAAAUG